GGAUAACCUGCCCUUGGGACCGGCAUAACCCCGGGAAACUGGGGAUAAUUCCGGAUAACGCAUAUUUGCUGGAAUGCUUUAUGCGUCAAAAGGAUUCGUCUGCCCAAGGAUGGGUCUGCGGCCUAUCAGGUAGUAGUGGGUGUAAUGUACCUACUAGCCAGCGACGGGUACGGGUUGUGAGAGCAAGAGCCCGGAGAUGGAUUCUGAGACAUGAAUCCAGGCCCUACGGGGCGCAGCAGGCGCGAAAACUUUACAAUGCGGGAAACCGUGAUAAGGGGACACCGAGUGCCAGCAUCAUAUGCUGGCUGUCCGGAUGUGUAAAAUACAUCCGUUAGCAAGGGCCGGGCAAGACCGGUGCCAGCCGCCGCGGUAACACCGGCGGCCCGAGUGGUGAUCGUGAUUAUUGGGUCUAAAGGGUCCGUAGCCGGUUUGGUCAGUCCUCCGGGAAAUCUGAUAGCUCAACUAUUAGGCUUUCGGGGGAUACUGCCAGACUUGGAACCGGGAGAGGUAAGAGGUACUACAGGGGUAGGAGUGAAAUCUUGUAAUCCCUGUGGGACCACCUGUGGCGAAGGCGUCUUACCAGAACGGGUUCGACGGUGAGGGACGAAAGCUGGGGGCACGAACCGGAUUAGAUACCCGGGUAGUCCCAGCCGUAAACGAUGCUUGCUAGGUGUCAGGCAUGGCGCGACCGUGUCUGGUGCCGCAGGGAAGCCGUGAAGCGAGCCACCUGGGAAGUACGGCCGCAAGGCUGAAACUUAA
rnacentral:rRNA from 1 species